rnacentral:rRNA from 1 species
AGUGGGGAAUAUUGGACAAUGGGCGAAAGCCUGAUCCAGCCAUGCCGCGUGUGUGAAGAAGGCCUUCGGGUUGUAAAGCACUUUCAGCGAGGAAGAACGCUUGUGGGUUAAUACCCCGCAAGAAGGACAUCACUCGCAGAAGAAGCACCGGCUAACUCCGUGCCAGCAGCCGCGGUAAUACGGAGGGUGCAAGCGUUAAUCGGAAUUACUGGGCGUAAAGCGCGCGUAGGCGGCUUGAUAAGCCGGUUGUGAAAGCCCCGGGCUCAACCUGGGAACGGCAUCCGGAACUGUCAGGCUAGAGUGCAGGAGAGGAAGGUAGAAUUCCCGGUGUAGCGGUGAAAUGCGUAGAGAUCGGGAGGAAUACCAGUGGCGAAGGCGGCCUUCUGGACUGACACUGACGCUGAGGUGCGAAAGCGUGGGUAGCAAA